AGCGAACGCUGGCGGCAGGCCUAACACAUGCAAGUCGAACGAAGUCUUCGGACUUAGUGGCGGACGGGUGAGUAACACGUGGGAACGUGCCUUUAGGUUCGGAAUAACUCAGGGAAACUUGUGCUAAUACCGAAUGUGCCCUUCGGGGGAAAGAUUUACCGCCUUUAGAGCGGCCCGCGUCUGAUUAGCUAGUUGGUGAGGUAAAGGCUCACCAAGGCGACGAUCAGUAGCUGGUCUGAGAGGAUGAUCAGCCACAUUGGGACUGAGACACGGCCCAAACUCCUACGGGAGGCAGCAGUGGGGAAUCUUGCGCAAUGGGCGAAAGCCCGACGCAGCCAUGUCGCGUGAAUGAUGAAGGUCUUAGGAUUGUAAAAUUCUUUCACCGGGGACGAUAAUGACGGUACCCGGAGAAGAAGCCCCGGCUAACUUCGUGCCAGCCGCCGCGGUAA
rnacentral:rRNA from 1 species